rnacentral:rRNA from 1 species
GACGAACGCUGGCGGCGUGCUUAACACAUGCAAGUCGAACGGGAUCCGGGCUUUCGGGUUUGGUGAGAGUGGCGAACGGGUGAGUAACACGUGAGUAUCCUGCCCCCUUCUUUGGGAUAACUUCUGGAAAUGGGCGCUAAUACUGGAUAUACUUGCUGCAUCGCUUGGUUUGGUUUGGAAAGGGUUUCUUGGUGGGAUGGGCUCGCGGCCUAUCAGCGUGUUGGUGGGGGGUUGGCCAAGCAGGGGAUUGACGGCUAGGCGGCGUGAGAGGGUGUCCGGCGACACUGGGACUGAGACACGGCCCAGACUCCGACGGGCGGCAGCAGUGGGGAAUAGUGGACGAUGGGCGGAAGCCUGAAGCAGCGACGCCGCGUGAGGGAUGACGGCCUUCGGGUGGUAAACCUCUUUCAGUAUGGAACAGGGAUCCUUCUUUUGGGGGGUUUGAGGGUACGUGCAGAAGAAGCGCCGGCUAACUACGUG